UCUUUGUGUGCAACUGCCAUUUACAUAUAUUGAUGUGUGUAAAUCACAAUAUUAUAUAUUAUAAAAAUAAAUUAAAAAAUGAAUUAUGUAUUUAUUUUUUAAUACUAUAGACCAUUGUAAACUUACACCACAAUUCACUACCCCCCUCCUCUUUGUUUUAAACAAAACUACUUACAAUGAUUUAAACAUACACAAGGAUUUUGUUGUUACGAAUUUUUUUAUAAGAAAUGAAAUUAUUUCAAAAUUAAUAAAUAAUAACACAAAUAAAUUCAAUUUGAAGGUGAAAUUACUUGUUUGUGAUAAUUUUGAAAACUAAGGAUAAAAAAUACAAGUGUUUCUUUAUUAAAUUUGUAGUCUUCAAAAUCAAUAAUAUGUAAGUACAUGCUUACUUACUUUUGAUUAGGAAUAAUGUCAAAAACUGCAUGAUGACUUUCUAGUUUGGUAUUUAAAAAAAUAAUAAUAUAUAGAUGUAGUAUCACAAAUUGGUUUUUAAAGAAUUCCUUGUUGCAUACAUAAAUGUCUCCUUACAGACUUUAAGUUUUCUUUAUUAUUUUUAUUUUUGUUUUGAUAUUCUCACUCGUAUAAUUUCAGAUUGCUUGCCAAGUAGAGUUGCAGCAAAGAAUACCAAAAAAAUAAAAUAAAAUAAAAUAAAAUCAUUAAUUUAGUUUGAUAAGAAUUAACACAGAACGCAUGACUCCAUGUACAUAAUAUCCUCAAAUUAUUUUUGAAAUUAUUAUCAUAUGUAGUAUUGAUUAUGUAAUUAUAUGAUACUUUAUAAUGGAAACUACUUCUUAUGCAAGUUCAUCAAGUAAUCAGAACAAAGUUUGCAAUAAAGAUAGUUAUCAAAGACAAGCGGACCAAGCUGUAAGAAGAAAAAAUAGACUUGAACGGCUUCAAGAGUUUAAAAGAUCUAUUGCGUCAUUUGAACAUCAUUCAAAAGAUUGUUCUAUUGGUAAAUCUGCAAAAGCUAUAAUGAUUGGCAAAGUUCUCGAAGAAAGAGCCAAAGAAAUAUCAAUUGUGGCACAUGAGAUUCGCAACAUUCGAGAAGAAUUAAACAAUUUAAAAGUAAGUGGUGAAGAAAAAAGUAAAAUAAAAAAUCUAUGCAUCAACGAAAUUGAAGACCGUGAAAAUGAAUUGAACCAAAUUGAAGAAGAAAUCAUUUUUAUAUUGGAAAGUAGAAAUCAAGAGAUGGUAUCCCAAAACAGUGACAAUGAAGAUCGGGAAUUCGAUUCCAAAUCGAACGAUGGCAUUUCACAAGAUCUUCCAUCUAAAUCUUUUUUUAAUAAAAAAUAUAAAUGUAGGGAUACCAAAAGUUUUGAUAGUUCAUCAAAACCAAUUCCUAAUCCAUUUAACUUUGAUUCUAAUUCUGAUAUGUUUAGUCAUCCAAUUCAAGAAGAUGUAAAUGGAUUAGAUGAUGUAGAAGAUAAAAUUAGUUUUAUAGAAAAUUUAGUAAAAGCUGACAUGAUAAAAGAAAGCAUGGAUUCAACGCUGAAUUUUAUGAAAGGAUUAAAGUUUUGAUAAAACAUACAUGCUCGAAUCAGAAUUUAGCAAAAAAACAGAGAGAAAAAGAAGAAAGAAGUAAUGCUAAGAUUGACUGAAACAAAUUCAACUGGAUUUUUAAUGUGUUCACAGUAUUUCUAACACAAAAUCAAAACGGGAAAAAAUAUUGAUGAAACAAUUAUGAUAUAAAACAUAAUAUGAGGAUCAACUGAUAAUUCUUCUUUUUUGUAUUUCUAACACACAUCUGAUUAUCAUGCAAGAUCUUUUAUCAGUGGAUGUAUGUGAUUCACAAAAGUAAUCAGAAUAAUAAUGUAUGUGUUCAUGUGUUUUUACUGGAUAUUUCACUAAGUAAAAAUCAUAAAAUUGAGUUGUUGAUUUAUUCGUGAAUUUAUGGGGUUUCGUUUUUUCUAUUACGUAUCAUAAAUAAAUUAAAGCGAGUUAGUAAUCAUUGUAAGCUUAAAAAAACUCACAUUGAAAUGAAAAUGAUACAGUUUUUAAGAUGAAAAAUUUCAAUUAUAAAGACGGUUUUACCAGAUUCUUCUUGUUAUGGUUACUGUUGUUAUUGAUUCCAUUCGUAGGAAUGCUUUUCUAGGUAAGAACACAUGUACUUAAAAUAAAAUUAAUGUGAAAAAAAAUCAAUCACACAAAUUGUAUGUUACAAAAAAAUGAAUACCCAAUGUCAACCUUGAAUAAAAUGCCAAGAUAUGUAGAAAAAAUUAAAAUCUUAAAAGACAAUGGUGUGAAGUGAAGAGCACAAUUUUAUUUUUCCUAGAAUUGUACAUUUGUACCUUUUAUUCUUGAUUUUUUAAAGAAAGAAGAUUAAAUAUUGAAAUAACCUUGAUUGAAUAUUGUUAAGCCCUAAAAUAAUACAUUAAGUUUCAAAUUUUAGGUCUAUUGUAUUCUCAAUGUUUUUAUUUUCCCUAUAUCAGGCUUUUGUUGCAAUUCUUUAUGGGUUGCGAAACUAUAUAAAUACACAUGAGACAUAUUUCUUAAUAUUAAAUUCAAUAUGAAGUAAGAAUCUAGUUUUACCUCAUCAGUAUUUGAUAUCUAACAUAAACUUAAACACUGUUACAUUGAAACUUGUUAGAUGUUGAUUAUUAUGGGCAUAGUGCUAUAUAUCAAUUUAUGCUGGAAUCAUUUUAUAUUGCUUUACUGAUUAGGAGAUUGAUACAGGUAAAUAUUUAAGAAUUGAAGGAUGUAAAUGUGAAAAUUUGCAUCAAAUUCUACAUCAAAACCAAAGGCAUUAAAUGCCAACAUGAAAUAGGAGCAGCAAUUGUGAUUAUGUUAUGUAACUCAAACUGUGUAAAAUGAUACAACUAUAUACAAUAUAUUGACAUAUUAAUUAAAUCUCUAUUUAAGAUUGUAUUUCAUCAAUAAUUUCUAUCUAAUUAUUAGUGUCAGAAAAAUUAAAAUUCAUUCUUCUAUUAAUUUUUUUAAAAAUUUAUUAUUAUUAUUAUUAUUAUUAUUCUUAUUGAAUGUAGAGCUUUUUAAAAUAAAAGGACUAUGCAACAUGCUUCGGAUAGCAAUGAGACAAGGUUGUUAUAUGGGCGCGAAAUUUUUGUGGUGGUGGUUCUAGAUUAUGGAUUACAACAAUACAAAAAAUACAACAAAUUCAAAGACAAAGAAGGCCUAGUUUUGAAUCCUCAUCAUUUUUUAUUUUGCUUUGAAUUAUUAUUUGUUUGUCAUAUUGACAAACAUUGACAAAAUACUAUUGGAAAAAUUGACAUUUCAAUGUUGAUAGAAGAAUUUUAUUAUUUCUCCACCAAAUUAAGUGGGCUUAAGAUCAAAUAAUUUCAAAAAUAUGUGUAAUGAGACACUAUUACAAUUUAAAAUCAAAUGAAAUAUUCAACUUUGAAGUAGCAAGCAGUUGAAAUAAACUUUGUCCAAAAUUCUAUGCUAGAAUGCAUUUAAUUAAACCAUGACUUUGUGCUUGAAUCAAUGUAUGUUUUUUAAAAUUACUCUACAAAUCUUUUGUAUGCUAAAGUUACUCAAUUUUAAUAUAUUCUACUUCAAAGUUU